AACGAACGCUGGCGGCAUGCCUAACACAUGCAAGUCGAACGAGACCUUCGGGUCUAGUGGCGCACGGGUGCGUAACGCGUGGGAACCUGCCCUUAGGUUCGGAAUAACUCCCCGAAAGGGGUGCUAAUACCGGAUAAUGUCUUAGGACCAAAGAUUUAUCGCCUUUGGAUGGGCCCGCGUUGGAUUAGCUAGUUGGUAGGGUAAAAGCCUACCAAGGCGACGAUCCAGAGCUGGUCUGAUAGGAUGCUCAGCAACACUGGGACUGAGACACGGCCCAGACUCCUACGGGAGGCAGCAGUGGGGUAUAUUGGACAAUGGGCGAAAGCCUGAUCCAGCAAUGCCGCGUGAGUGAUGAAGGCCUUAGUGUUGUAAAGCUCUUUUACCCGGGGUGAUAAUGACAGUACCGGGUGAAUAAGCUCCGGCUAACUCCGUG
rnacentral:rRNA from 1 species